rnacentral:rRNA from 1 species
UACGGGGGGGGCAAGCGUUGUUCGGAAUUACUGGGCGUAAAGGGCUCGUAGGCGGCCAACUAAGUCAGACGUGAAAUCCCUCGGCUUAACCGGGGAACUGCGUCUGAUACUGGAUGGCUUGAAUCCGGGAGAGGGAUGCGGAAUUCCAGGUGUAGCGGUGAAAUGCGUAGAUAUCUGGAGGAACACCGGUGGCGAAGGCGGCAUCCUGGACCGGCAUUGACGCUGAGGAGCGAAAGCGUGGGGAGCGAACAGG